rnacentral:lncRNA from 10 species
UAGACCUGAGAAGAAUCAGCACAUGACUGUUGAAACUCCACAGCAAAUCAGAACAGCUCAAAAAGGGAAACUUUAUAACAGACAAAUAGAGUAGAAGAAAAGUAAAUGAGAGGACAAUUUUUAAAGAAAGGAAGUGAACAGAGAAACCAAAUGCGUGCCUUUUUUUUUUUUUUUUUUUUUUUUUUUUUGCAGCUGCAUGGAAUUUUAGUGAAUCCAGAGGCCUUGUUCCCCGUAAUUUGGAGUUCUCCUUCGAAUUUGACCAACUCAGGUAGAGUUAAUCAAAUCUGAUGGAAGAAAACCAAAAUAACAAAACAAAUAUGAUUACUGAGGACUUUUAAUGGUAAGGAGAAGUUAAGACCAGUUACUUGUCAAUCUUAACUUUUAGUCACUAAGGGGAAUUUUCAAGACAAAACUCUAAUUGAGCUACUUACCUAGGAAUGAGGCUCACGCUGAACACUGCUGUCUACCAUCUAUGAAGCAGGAAAAAACUCAAACUCACUUUCUCUGUUGGAAGGGAGCAGAAACUCCAGAAAGGACUUGCUGGCCCUCCAUCAUCAUGGAAACAGGAAAACUAAUCUUCCUUGUUGGAAGUGAGUAAAACUCCAGGAAAGGAGUUAUAAAGCAAAAUGAACCUUAGACCUCAACCAAAUUUGGGGAGAGCAAUGAUUCUCUGAAGGGACCUCCCAGACCUCAGCAAAUUGUAUUAUUGGUUUGAGCAAUAAAGAUAGGCCAAGCUGGUACCAAGCAUGGAUGGAUUUGUCAAAGAUCAGGCCACCUCAUCUCUUCCAUUGGCCACCAGUUUAUAAACCAAAGAGUAUCUGAGACAGGUCUCAAUCAAUUCAGAAGUUUAUUUUGCCAAGGUUAAAGACAUGCCUGGAAGAAAAUAACAUGGACCCACAGGAACAGUCUGUGGUCUGAGUCUUUCUCCAAAGAUAAAUUUCAAGGCUUCAAUAUUUAAAGGGAAAAUGUAGGCUGGAGGGGAGAGGGGUAGAGUAUAGUAAUCCCCAUGUUGUAAGAGAAAAGGAGCGGGUACGGGAAUAGUCAAUUAUGUAUUCAUCUCAUGCUCAAUAAAUUGGCA